GAUGAACGCUGGCGGUGUGCCUAAUACAUGCAAGUCGAGCGAACGGACGAGAAGCUUGCUUCUCUGAUGUUAGCGGCGGACGGGUGAGUAACACGUGGAUAACCUACCUAUAAGACUGGGAUAACUUCGGGAAACCGGAGCUAAUACCGGAUAAUAUUUUGAACCGCAUGGUUCAAAAGUGAAAGACGGUCUUGCUGUCACUUAUAGAUGGAUCCGCGCUGCAUUAGCUAGUUGGUAAGGUAACGGCUUACCAAGGCAACGAUGCAUAGCCGACCUGAGGGGGUGAUCGGCCACACUGGAACUGAGACACGGUCCAGACUCCUACGGGAGGCAGCAGUAGGGAAUCUUCCGCAAUGGGCGAAAGCCUGACGGAGCAACGCCGCGUGAGUGAUGAAGGUCUUCGGAUCGUAAAACUCUGUUAUUAGGGAAGAACAUAUGUGUAAGUAACUGUGCACAUCUUGACGGUACCUAAUCAGAAAGCCACGGCUAACUACGUG
rnacentral:rRNA from 1 species